rnacentral:rRNA from 1 species
CCUACGGGAGGCAGCAGUGAGGAAUAUUGGUCAAUGGACGAGAGUCUGAACCAGCCAAGUAGCGUGAAGGAUGACUGCCCUAUGGGUUGUAAGCUUCUUUUAUAUGGGAAUAAAACGUUCCACGUGUGGGAUUUUGUAUGUACCAUAUGAAUAAGGAUCGGCUAACCCCGUGCCAGCAGCCGCGGUAAUACGGAGGUUCCGAGCGUUAUCCGGAUUUAUUGGGUUUAAGGGGAGCGGAGGUGGAUUUUUAAGUCGGUUGUGAAAGUUUUGGGCACAACCGUAAAAUUGCAGUUGAAACUGGGUGUCGUGAGUACAGGAGAGGUAGGCGGAAUUCGUGGUGUAGCGGUGAAAUGCGUAGAUAUCAGGAGGAACAC